rnacentral:lncRNA from 1 species
UUUUCUUCCACAUGAAAGAAGAUACUGGGUCGAUGUAAAUGUAUUUUCUAGCAAGGCCAUCAUACAUUAAAUAGGUGUAUUUUCUUAUAUCAGCCUAAGAAUUUCAACCUUAUACACUAUGACUGGAAUAUAUAAUUUAUGCAUAUAUUAUAGGGAAUUACAGUUUAGGAUGGAUUUAUAAUGAUAUUGCCAUCAAAUUUUAUGGAUCAGUGGAGAUUAUUAGACUUUCUGGAGCCAUGCUGUUCUUAUAAAGGCCUUAGGUAUAGAGUGAAUAUAUUAUUUCUUUUUGUGAACCACAAGAGUCUAGAUAGGGGAUGAAAGUGCAAUCUUUCAUAUUAUAUUACUCAGUAUGGAAAGGAAUCUUAGAAGUUUUCCCUAUUCCUAAAUGUGUGUAUUUCUUAAUGAAAGAAUUAGAAUGUGGUCUUUCAACAGCCCUGGAAAAUCAGUUUAUCUGUCAGUAUUCAGCUGAGAUACACACCGAAUAAAAUACUAAAAUACUGAAGUGGUUCUUAUUGAGGUUUAUAAUGAGAAUUACUGGGGAGUUUAAAAAGAAAUUAUUGAGCACAAUUCUUAGCUUCUGAUUCUUUGGUUCUGGUGUGGCUGUGGAUUCUGCUUUUUAAAUAGGUCAGGUUUGAGAACCACAGCUGUAUUUGGUUAGGGGGUAGUGUGCAAUAGAAAUAUAAAUGUAAUAGGAAAUAGAAGAUAGGAACUUCCUCUUUUAUUUGGCUUUCUGUUUUGUCAGAAGGAACACAUUCAAAACUAGGUGAUACUUUCAAAGCUAGGGAAUGACAAAUGAAAAUCCAUAUAAGCAAAAAAAAAAAAAAUCAAGAAUGAACCAAGUUUUCUUUUUCUUUUCCUUUCUUUUUUUAGACUUAUUUUACAGUGUGGUGGGGAGGGAGAGAGAGAAUCCUCAAGAGACUCUUCUCUGAGCACAGAGCCCAGCACAGAGCUCCAUCCCAGGACCCUAUGACCUGAGCUGAAAUGAAGUGCCAGCUGCUUAACUGGCUGAGUUACCCAGAUCCAUUCUCCUCUCCGCAUGCUCUGUAUCCUAAGAGACUGUGCUUAAAGAACUGCAUCAUCUGCUCACUAGCCUUCUUGCUCUGCUGGGUUCAGCCAGUGGAAAAGGGAAGCAAGAAUUUGGUGAGUAUUAAGAGAGCACUCAGGAUGUUUAUCAUUAACCCUUAUGGGGCUAUAUUUGACAGAUGAAAGCAAACUCUUCUACCUAUGGCCACUCUCUUGUCAUGUGGUCCCAUUUCAACAGCCCUCACUCUUUUUUUUUUUAAAUUUAUUUUUAUUUUCAGCAUAACAGUAUUCAUUAUUUUUGUACCACACCCAGUGCUCCAUGCAAUCUGUGCCCUCUAUAAUACCCACCAUCUGGUACCCUGACCUCCCACCACCCUCCCCUUCAAAACCCUCAGAUUGUUUUUCAGAGUCCAUAGUCUCUCAUGGUUGACCUCCCCUUCCAAUUUCCCCCAACUCCCUUCUCCUCUCCAACUCCCCUUGUCCUCCAUGCUAAUUGUUAUGCUCCACAAAUAAGUGAAACCAUAUGAUAAUUGACUCUCUCUGCUUGACUUAUUUCACUCAGCAUAAUCUCUUCCAGUCNNNN